GUGGGGAAUCUUGGACAAUGGGGGAAACCCUGAUCCAGCAACGCCGUGUGAGUGAUGAAGGUCUUCGGAUCGUAAAGCUCUGUCGGCCGGGAAGAAUUGCAUGAACAUCAGAUCUUCAUGCUUGACGGUACCGGCGAAGGAAGCACCGGCUAACUCUGUGCCAGCAGCCGCGGUAAUACAGAGGGUGCAAGCGUUAUUCGAAAUUAUUGGGCGUAAAGCGCGCGUAGGUGGCGAGGCAAGUCUUGUGUGAAAUCCUCGGGCUCAACCCGAGAAAGUCAUGAGAAACUACCUUGCUUGAGUAUAAGAGGGGAGAGCGGAAUUCCCAGUGUAGUGGUGAAAUACGUAGAUAUUGGGAGGAACACCGGUGGCGAAAGCGGCUCUCUGGCUUAUCACUGACACUCUGGCGCGAAAGCGUGGGGAUCAAACAGGAUUAGAAACCCUAGUAGUCC
rnacentral:rRNA from 1 species